AAACUGAUUGGGUGGUCAGAAUCUGGUCCGGAUGAGGAUUAGGCUGGAUGGGGUGACUGACAGUCCGGAUCAUUGAAACUGGUCCAGACUGACGCAGCAGGGGCCGUUUGGCAGAGCAGCAGGGGCCGUUUGGCAGAGCAUCCUCUUCCCCGUCCUUUGUGAAAGAACACAGGAAACAUUUGGGUUUUGUAGCUUUUCACCCCCUACUAUCAGGCAUCAAAAUCAAAAUUAGUUACUAAAUUGUGUGAAUUUUUGGAAACCUGCAUUUCUAUUCAUCUGCUAUUCCAGAGAAAAAUGGGAGUGUAUUACAGGAGAGUUACCUCACAGUAUCUUAUGUUGUGGAGCCUGAAACAACCAUGUGUUUUCUUAUAUGUUCAUUUGUGUUGAUACUCCCUUUAUUUGAGUUUAUGAACAGAAAUAGAAAGUAUGGUGCUUGGGUUUUGCCCUUUCUUAACUCGUGACAGUUAAAUCAGAAGACACUAAUUUCAUUUUGUGAAAUUUAGCUCAGAGAUGAUUGAUCUUUUGUUUCAUUAACGUGAACAACGAUUAGUAAAAAAACAGCUUUAACAGCAUUUCUGCUGAUAUCUCGUAAUCUAUUCUUUAAUGUGAAAAUACGAUAAAAUGUCCUAGAGCUAAUUCUAGCAUAAAUUUGCUGAUAUUUUUGUAUGUCAUUAGGUUUUUUCCCCCUAAGUUUGGUAAUAGAAAUUUUGUUAAUCUUUGCAUACUUGAUGGCAUCUAUAUCAAUGUUGAUUGGGUAAUUAUAAAUUCUGUGCUAAUUUAAAACUUCAUUUGCCUCUUAAGGUGAUUGCCCUCUGAGUAAUGAUUGUAGUUAAAUGAAGUGUAGUUUGCAACUAUUACUAUCACAUUGGUUGUUAAGUAAAAAUAAAUAAACCCAGUUUGGCUAAGACAGACCAAGAUCAAUCUUCUCAUCAAAUCAGUAUUUCUCUAAGAGCAAUUUCACUUUAAGUUUUAGGGUGGACAUUCUUGGAAUGCCUCAAAUUAAAAGUUAUCUAUUUAAUAAUCUUCCUGGAAUAGUCUGUGACCAAAAAGGAGGGUGUGGUAUAUUUAGGUGUAAAUGUAUCACAUACAUGGUAUGAUAUAUUUAGUAUUUAUAUAUUCAGCUAAUUCUCUGUGAAGAAGUCUUCCUGACUAAAAUUGGUUUCCAGAUAAACUAAUUUCUGUUAGUAUUUCUACUGUGCCUACCAUGUAUGACUUUUUGUUAGAAACUGAUAAAUGUAUCAGUCACUAGCAUGUACUGGUUCUUUUUCCUCUCAUUUUUGUGGAAAGGAUAUGCAAGCAUUGAAUUUCUCAGGGAGUACUAAGGCUGUGCAGAGGCUGAGAAUCUGAAAAAUAAAAUAUUAAAA